GCAGUAACAACCCUGAACAGACAGUAAAACCCCAGAACAGAGAGGAACAACCCCAAACAGGCCGUAACAACCCCAAACAGAGGGGAACAACCCCGAACAGGCAGGAAAAACCCCAAACAGGCAGUAACAACCCCGAACAGAGAGUAACAACCCCAAAGAGAGAGGAACAACCCCGAAGAGAGAGUAACAACACAGAACAGAGAGGAACAACCCCGAACAGGCAGGAACAACCCCGAACAGGCAGGAACAACCCCAAACAGAGAGUAACAACCCCGAACAGAGAGGAACAACCCCGAACAGGCAGUAACAACACCGAACAGAGAGGAACAACCCCAAACAGAGAGGAACAACCCCAAACAGAGAGGAACAACCCCGAACAGAGAGGAACAACACCGAACAGAGAGGAACAACACCGAACAGAGAGGCACAACCCCGAACAGAGAGGAACAACCCCGAACAGAGAGGAACAACCCCGAACAGAGAGGAACAACACCGAACAGAGAGGAACAACACCGAACAGAGAGGCACAACCCCGAACAGAGAGGAACAACCCCGAGCAGGAAGUAACAACCCCGAAGAGAGAGGAACAACCCCGAACAGGCAGGAGCAACCCCAAACACAGAGUAACAACCCCGAACAGGCAGUAACAACCCCGAACAGAGAGGAACAACCCCGAACAGGCAGUAACAACCCCGAACAGAAAGGAACAACCCCGAAAAGAGAGGAACAACACUGAACAGAGAGGAACAACCCCGAACAGGCAGGAACAAUCCCGAACAGGCAGGAACAAUCCCGAACAGUCAGGAACAACCCCAAACAGAGAGGAACAACCCCGAACAGGCAGUAACAACCCCGAACAGAGAGUAACAACCCCGAACAGAGAGGAACAACCCCGGACAGAGAGGAACAACACCGAACAGAGAGGAACAACCCCGAACAGACAGUAACAACACCGAACAGGCAGGAACAACCCCGAACAGGCAGUAACAACCCCGAACAGAGAGUAACAACCCCGAACAGAGAGGAACAACCCCAAAUAGUCAGUAACAAUCCCGAACAGGCAGUAACAACUCCGAACAGAGAGUAACAACCCCGAACAGAAAGUAACAACCCCGAACAGAGAGUAACAACCCCGAACAGGCAGUAACAAUCCGGAACAGAGAGUAACAACCUGGAACAGGCAGUAACAACUCGGAACAGGCAGUAACAGCCCUGAACAGGCAGUAACAACCCGGAACAGAGAGUAACAACCCUGAGCAGGCAGUAACAACCCGGAACAGGCAGUAACAACCCCAGCUAAACCAAUAGAACCGGCCUGGCAGCCACUCCUGUUCCAGUGCAGCACUCCACCAUGCAGAGGGGUCGGAGAAGCAGUUGUAGGUCACAGCAAGGAGUGGGCCGUGGGGAUCAUGGCCAGGUCGUGAAAUCCAAGUGGCACCCGCCAUGGCACCAGCCAGAACAGGUCCCCUCCUUUCCAAAGGGCAGAGCUGGGGCUGGCCCUGGAGAUGCUGGGGUCAGCAAGGGCUGGGGCUGCGCUCCCUCCUGGGUCUGUGUCAAAAGCAGCCAGCACCGAAGCCUGUCCACAUCGGCCAGGCCCUGUGCAAGCCGCGCUUCCCAGCAGACGGCACGGAAUUGCUGGUGAGAGUGGACGCUGGGCCGGAACAGAGCGGCGCUUCCUG
rnacentral:lncRNA from 1 species